rnacentral:rRNA from 1 species
ACGAGUUCCGUGCCGCAGCAAACGCAUUAAGUGCCCCGCCUGGGGAGUACGGCCGCAAGGCUAAAACUCAAAGGAAUUGACGGGGGCCCGCACAAGCGGCGGAGCAUGCGGAUUAAUUCGAUGCAACGCGAAGAACCUUACCAAGGCUUGACAUACACCGGAAACUUCCAGAGAUGGUUGCCCCGCAAGGUCGGUGUACAGGUGGUGCAUGGUUGUCGUCAGCUCGUGUCGUGAGAUGUUGGGUUAAGUCCCGCAACGAGCGCAACCCUCGUCUUAUGUUGCCAGCACGUCAUGGUGGGGACUCAUAAGAGACUGCCGGGGUCAACUCGGAGGAAGGUGGGGAUGACGUCAAAUCAUCAUGCCCCUUAUGUCUUGGGCUUCACGCAUGCUACAAUGGCCGGUACAAAGGGCUGCGAUACCGCGAGGUGGAGCGAAUCCCAAAAAGCCGGUCUCAGUUCGGAUUGGGGUCUGCAACUCGACCCCAUGAAGUCGGAGUCGCUAGUAAUCGCAGAUCAGCAACGCUGCGGUGAAUACGUUCCCGGGCCUUGUACACACCGCCCGUCAAGUCACGAAAGUCGGUAACACCCGAA